AUGGUGUUUUCUCGGCGAGGAGGUCCGGAUUCCCGGAGUCUGCUGCUCUCGCUUCUGCUGUUCUCAAUCUGGGAAGCUGGGAGCGGCCAGCUCCACUACUCCGUCCCCGAGGAGGCCAAACACGGCACCUUCGUGGGCCGCAUCGCGCAGGACCUGGGGCUGGAGCUGGUAGAGCUGGUGCCCCGCCUGUUCAGGGUGGCGUCCAAGGACCGCGGGGACCUUCUGGAGGUAAAUCUGCAGAAUGGCAUUUUGUUUGUGAAUUCUCGGAUCGACCGGGAGGAGCUGUGCGGGCGGAGAGCAGAGUGCAGCAUCCACCUGGAGGUGAUCGUGGACAGGCCGCUGCAGGUUUUCCACGUGGAGGUGGAGGUGAGGGACAUUAAUGACAAUCCGCCCGUGUUCCCGGUAAAAGAACAACAGCUGCAUAUUUCAGAAUCCAGAAUGCUAGACUCCAGGUUUCUGCUAGAGGGCGCAUUCGAUGCAGACAUUGGAGCCAAUUCAGUUGUAACGUAUAGGCUUGACUCUAAUGAUUACUUCACACUAAUCGUGAGUUCAAAGAACGAAGAAAGUAAACAGAUUGAGCUAGCUUUAAGAAAAUCGUUGGACAGAGAGGAUGCUCCUGAGCAUAAGCUACUGCUGACAGCCACGGAUGGGGGCAAACCUGAGCUCACAGGCUCUGUUCAGCUGCUGAUCACUGUGCUGGAUGUGAAUGAUAACGCCCCUACUUUCCAACACCCUGAGUAUGAAGUGAGAAUCUUGGAAAACUCAGACAACGGAACGACAGUUAUUAGACUAAAUGCUUCUGACAGGGAUGAAGGGACGAAUUCUGCCAUUUCUUACUCUUUUAAUAGGCUGGUGUCGCCCAGGAUUCUUGACCAGUUUAGCAUAGAUGCAGAUUCAGGAGAAAUCAUAAUUCAAGGGAAUUUGGACUUUGAGCAAGUAGAUGUUUACAAAAUCCGCGUUGACGCGACGGACAAAGGACACCCUCCGAUGGCGGGCCAUUGCACCGUUUUAGUGAAGGUAUUGGAUGAAAAUGACAAUGUGCCUCAGAUCACAUUGACUUCCUUAUCCCUGCCUGUUCGAGAGGACGCUGCCCUGGGUACUGUCAUUGCUCUAAUUAGCGUUUCGGAUCUGGACUCUGGAGUCAACGGGCAGGUGACCUGCUCCCUGACUCCUCAUGUCCCCUUCAAGUUAGUGUCCACCUUCAAGAAUUACUAUUCGCUUGUGCUGGACAGCGUCCUGGACCGUGAGACCACAGCUGACUAUCAGGUGGUGGUGACAGCGCGGGACGGGGGCUCUCCUUCUUUGUGGACCACAGCCAGCGUGUCCGUGGAGGUGGCUGACGUGAACGACAACUCUCCUGCGUUCGCGCAGCCCGAAUACACGGUGUUUGUGAAGGAGAACAACCCGCCUGGCGCGCACAUCUUCACGGUGUCAGCGGUGGAUGCGGACGCGCAGGAGAAUGCGCUGGUGUCCUACUCAUUAGUGGAGCGGAGGGUGGGUGAGCGCUUGCUGUCGAGCUAUGUGUCUGUGCACGCGGAGAGCGGCAAGGUGUUCGCACUGCAGCCUCUGGACCAUGAGGAGCUGGAGCUGCUGCAGUUCCAGGUGAGCGCGCGGGAUGCUGGUGUGCCUGCCCUGGGCAGCAAUGUGACUCUUCAGGUGUUUGUACUGGAUGAGAAUGAUAAUGCUCCUUCCAUUCUUUUGGCUGGUACUGAAGGCUUGGGUAGUGUGGCAACUGAUCUGAUACACAGGUCUGUGAGCGUGGGUCAGGUGGUCGCAAAAGUGCGGGCGGUGGACUCAGAUUCUGGCUACAACGCAUGGUUGUCCUAUGAACUGGAACCCUCAGUUGGCCUUCGCAGCCCAUUUCGUGUUGGGCUGUACACGGGUGAGAUCAGUACAACACGCGUUCUUGAUGAGUCCGAUUCACCCAGACAGCGCCUGUUGGUGUUGGUGAAAGACCAUGGUGAGCCAGCGCUGACUUCCACAGCCACUAUUCUCAUGUCCCUGAUUGAGAGUAGUCAGGCACCAAAGGCUUCUUCUCAGGCUUCUAGUCAUGCUUCAGUACCAGAGGCAUCGCUGGUAGAUGUCAACGUGUACCUGAUCAUUGCCAUUUGCGCGGUGUCCAGCCUGUUGGUGCUCACCCUGCUGCUGUACACAGCGCUGCGCUGCUCGGCGACGCCCACCAAUGGAGCCUGUGCUCCAGGGAAGCCCAUGCUGGUGUGCUCCAGCGCGGUGGGGAGCUGGUCUUACUCACAACAAAGGCGGCAAAGGGUGUGCUCUGGAGAGGGUCCACCUAAGACUGACCUCAUGGCUUUUAGUCCUAGUCUUCCACCGCGUCCAGUAUCAGAGGUCAUUGGGGAAGGGCAAGAUUUAAAUGUCGAUCAUGGCUUUCAAGUAAGUCCUUUUAUAUUAAUUUGGGAGGUGGGGAGCAGACAGCUCCACUAUUCAAUCCUCGAAGAGGCCAAACACGGCACCUUCGUGGGUCGCAUCGCACAGGAUCUUGGGCUGGAGCUGCCGGAGCUAGUUCCUGGUCUUUUUCAGUUGGAUUUAAAGGGCUUUGGGGACCUUCUGGAGGUAAAUCUGCAGAAUGGCAUUUUGUUUGUGAAUUCUCGGAUCGACCGGGAGGAGCUGUGCGGGAGGAGCGCGGAGUGUAGCAUCCACCUGGAGGUGAUCGUGGACAGGCCGCUGCAGGUUUUUCACGUCGAGGUGGAGGUAAGAGACAUUAAUGACAACCCUCCCAUGUUUGCAGCGACACAAAAGACUCUGUUUAUUCCCGAGUCCAGACUGCUUGACUCGCGGUUUCCACUAGAGGGCGCGUCAGAUGCAGAUGUCGGUUCCAAUGCUCUGCUGACUUACAGACUGAGCACCAAUGAACAUUUCUCUCUGGAUGUACCGGCCAACCACGAGCAGGUGAAACCUCUUGGUCUCGUUUUGCGGAAACCUUUGGACAGAGAAGAAGCCGCAGAGAUGCGCUUAUUGCUCACGGCCAUCGACGGAGGCAAACCGGAGCUGACCGGCACCAUUCAGUUACUCAUCACAGUGCUGGAUGUCAAUGACAAUGCUCCAGUUUUUGACAGAUCUCUCUAUACCGUGAAAUUGCCAGAAAACGUUCCAAAUGGAACAUUGGUAAUCAAAGUCAAUGCCUCAGAUUUUGACGAAGGCGUGAAUGGGGACGUCGUGUACUCGUUUUCUAGUGAUGUUUCUUCAGAUAUAAAAUCCAAGUUUCACAUGGAUGCU